AGUGAACGCUGGCGGUAGGCCUAACACAUGCAAGUCGAACGGCAGCACAGUAAGAGCUUGCUCUUACGGGUGGCGAGUGGCGGACGGGUGAGGAAUACAUCGGAAUCUACUUUUUCGUGGGGGAUAACGUAGGGAAACUUACGCUAAUACCGCAUACGACCUACGGGUGAAAGCAGGGGAUCUUCGGACCUUGCGCGAUUGAAUGAGCCGAUGUCGGAUUAGCUAGUUGGCGGGGUAAAGGCCCACCAAGGCGACGAUCCGUAGCUGGUCUGAGAGGAUGAUCAGCCACACUGGAACUGAGACACGGUCCAGACUCCUACGGGAGGCAGCAGUGGGGAAUAUUGGACAAUGGGCGCAAGCCUGAUCCAGCCAUACCGCGUGUGUGAAGAAGGCCUUCGGGUUGUAAAGUCCUUUUGUUGGGAAAGAAAAGCAGCAGGUUAAUACCCCGCUGUUCUGACGGUACCCAAAGAAUAAGCACCGGCUAACUUCGUG
rnacentral:rRNA from 1 species